CUUGAUAUGCUAAAAUCCUGAUUUGACCUGAUUAAAAAUUGUCAGUAAUAUUCCAAACAAAUGAAUUCUUGUAUAACAUAAUGCAUCAUAGUCAAAGGUCUUUAAAAUAAGACAUUUUAAGUACUCAAUAUUAUCAUUUAAUUUAAAAUAAAAACAUCGGGUAAUUUCAGGUCUUUAGUACAUCCGGGUUUCAGUGUGUCCCAUCGAAAUCGGCAAAUCGGACACAUGUUGAUCAUGUUUACAAAGUGAAGUUGAGGAUUUUCUCACCAUACAAGCCGUAUGUAAACAUGCACGGACAUUUCAUCUGCAGCUCAAAGUACUUUAUCAAUCCUCUGGAGCAUUAUUCUAAGCAAAAUUAUCCGAUUUAUAUAUUCUUGUGUGAAUUGUUUACGAGGAAAUUCCGACUGUCACAGUAAUAAACAAGGAUAAACACUCUUGACUCUGUUUCGGAUUCCCCAGUGAUAAUUGUAUCGAAUGAUUAAAGAGCUGACGGUUACAUUUUAAUUUAUGAUUGGCGUGGACCAUGGGAAUUAAUUCGAAGUCAUUUUAUGAUGCCACCACUUGGGAUAGUAAGCUGCAACUAUAGACUUGUACUCAGCACUUAUUGCCUUUGAGAAGUAAGGGAUCCUUUUCGUGCCAACACCCACACCUACUGUGACGCAGAAUCUCGGUUUAUACAGUCUCUUUGGAGUAACCUGUCUCUAGCAUUUAGCAGUGUGACUGUCAUCUGAGUACUGAAAUUUGAUGCCAAGCAUGAUCAUGAUUUGCCAGAAGAGCCUCUUUUGGGAGAUGACAAAGAAUAAACAGCAGAAUGAAAUUGAAACAAUCAACUGAAUCAAGUCUCAGUUUAAGAAGAUGAUUUUAAAUAUAUCAUAUUUAAAUUUUGAUUUGAGAAACAGACAUAAAUC